rnacentral:rRNA from 1 species
CCAAGGGACGCUAGUACAGGUGGUGGCAUGGCUGUCGUCAGCUCGUGUCGUGAGAUGUUGGGUUAAGUCCGCAACGAGCGCAACCCUUACCCUUAGUUGUUUUCCCGAAAGGAUUACCCUCUAAGGGGACUGCCCCGGACAACGGGGAGGAAGGUGGGGGAGUGACGUCAAGUCCGCAUGCUCCUUACGUCUAGGGCUACACACGUCCUACAAUGGGGUCGACAGUGGGAUGCAAAGCCGCGAGGUGGAGCCAAUCCCCAAACGGCCUCUCAGUUCGGAUAGUAGUCUGCAACUCGACUACUUGAAGUCGGAAUCGCUAGUAAUGGCGGAUCAGCAUGCCGCCGUGAAUACGUUCCCGGGUCUU